rnacentral:tRNA from 1 species
GAUAAGAUGGCUGAAUUUAGGCUAUAAACUGUAAAUUUAUAAAUGGUGUAUACCUCUUAUCA